UGACAUAGUUAUUUUAAAUACGAUUAUUUGUCAUGUAUUACACUUUCUUUCAGCUAUGAGUGACAUCCAAUGUGAAAUUAACACAACAACUUCCGGUUUGGGCAUCAAUUGUUUUGCAAGUCAAGUUUUCCCUCCGGCUCUGUGCGAGAUCAGUGUCAACAAUUUUAGAGAGACUCAAAUCGUAUCGCAAGACCAGAUUAUCUACACUCACCACACUACGUCAUCAGAACUUGUGUACUACAACUCCAGUUGUAGUUAUGUGAUCCCAGGCCAAGACGUCCAAGCUACAGCCAUCAAAAGUGGAUGUUUAUAUGUAUCCAAAUUUUAUCAGCCAAGAAUCUGCUCAGAAGUUUAGAAAACAUUCAGCUAUCAUCUUUGACUUAGGUUAACAUUCAUUUUAUAACAGAAGUCUACAUUUACUGUCUGCCUGCAGAUGGAGGAGGAACAAGCCAGCUGAUGUUUUCGUUCAACAGCCUGGCCUCCAUCGAAAUCAUACGUGACGAUGGAAGUAUACAGAUAUAUUGUUAUGCAAAACAAAUCUGUAGUGUUCUUGACACAGAUAGUCACAUUCAGGAGUUGAAGCAGAACCGGUUGAGUGAUAAAACCACUUUGUCGAUAAGCGUCAAAAGUGUCGCUGGUCAUAUUUCCACUUUUGCAAAUAACUGGACGGUGACUGUCGUCGGAUCAUCAAAAUCUUGGACGGGAAAAUGUAGAAGAUAUGGUAGGUAGGCCUAUUGUAUUUUCAAUCUUAAUUUUCUUUUCAUGUAUAUGUCCAUGUUCAGUUACAUCACUUCUACAUUAACAUAACAUUUACAUAACAUUUACAUAACAUUUACAUAGCACUGAAGGCAAAACAAAAUAUGAUGAUGACUUCCAAAAGCACAGACUGAAUAUUUAAAAAGAGUAUCUUUAUAUAUAUAUAUAUAUAUAAAUAUCGAAGCAGGACGUUUUGGCGCAGCCGUUUUAGCGCGACCUUUUUGGCGCACGGGACGUUUUGGCGCGAAAUAUAAUUUGAGAUAAUUUAAUAACCGCGUAGCUUCUAUAACAAUGUUUAUUUCACUUUACAAUUUGUUGUAUCUAUAGUAUAAAUUCCAAACACUGUCCAGCGAAUUGUUUGUUUGUUUGUU
rnacentral:sRNA from 1 species